rnacentral:rRNA from 1 species
UACAGAGGGUGCGAGCGUUGUCCGGAAUUAUUGGGCGUAAAGAGCUCGUAGGCGGCUUGUCACGUCGGGUGUGAAAGCCCGGGGCUUAACCCCGGGUCUGCAUUCGAUACGGGCUAGCUAGAGUGUGGUAGGGGAGAUCGGAAUUCCUGGUGUAGCGGUGAAAUGCGCAGAUAUCAGGAGGAACACCGGUGGCGAAGGCGGAUCUCUGGGCCAUUACUGACGCUGAGGAGCGAAAGCGUGGGGAGCGAACAGG